rnacentral:tRNA from 1 species
CAGAGGGUAGUUUAAAUAAAAUAUUAAUUUUGGGAAUUAGUGAUAAAGCAUUACUUUCUCUCUGA